GAUGUGGCUGCAGUUCUGUGGUAUGAGCCUGGGGCUCUAACUGCCAGGUCAUUCACAGGGUUCAGUUGCCUGAGGGUAACAGUGUUAUUUCCUGUGAAAGUCUUGUGAAGAGACAAAGACUCUUCGCUCUUUUGUGAAAAAUAUUUGUGCUCUUUGGUGGCGCCCCAGUCCCGAUUCCUGGGUGGAUGAAACCAUCCUCGCCUUGGUGUGUGGACUGGGGCUCUUCUUCCUACUACUCCCCUACCUCAGGAGUGAUCCGUCCUCACUACCACCUAGGACACACGGGAGCAUCAGGAAGCAACAAAUAGAGCCGCUGGGGAGGAGGAGGAGGAGGAGCAUGAGACAGAGCGCUUUGAAAGCCUGCAGAGAUGGUCUGUAACAGCUGGGAUGGGUUUGGGGCCUGAUGGCACAUCUGCAAAGGUAAAGAAUCUUUCCUUUCUCUCCUGGGUUCUCCUUCCUUCCAGGGCUCAGGGUGUGACCCUAGGGCUGCAGGCAGCCUGGGG
rnacentral:lncRNA from 1 species